rnacentral:rRNA from 1 species
AUUGAACGCUGGCGGCAUGCCUUACACAUGCAAGUCGAACGGUAACAGGUCUUCGGAUGCUGACGAGUGGCGAACGGGUGAGUAAUACAUCGGAACGUGCCCGAGAGUGGGGGAUAACGAGGCGAAAGCUUUGCUAAUACCGCAUACGAUCUCAGGAUGAAAGCAGGGGACCGCAAGGCCUUGCGCUCACGGAGCGGCCGAUGGCAGAUUAGGUAGGUGGUGGGAUAAAAGCUUACCAAGCCGACGAUCUGUAGCUGGUCUGAGAGGAAGAGCAGCCGCACGAGGAGUGGGACACGGCCCAGACUCCUACGUGAGGCAGCAAUGGGGAAUUUUGGACAAUGGGCGGAAGCCUGAUCCAGCCAUGCCGCGUUCAGGAUGAAGGUCUUCGGGUUGUAAACUGCUUUUGUACGGAACGAAAAGACUCUGGUUAAUACCUGGGGUCCAUGACGGUACCGUAAGAAUAAGCACCGGCUAACUACGUGCCAGCCGCCGCGGUAACAC